ACCUAGUGGCAAACGGGUGAGUAACACAUGGGUUACCUGCCUCUAAGUUGGGGAUAACAGUUGGAAACGAUUGCUAAUACCGAAUGUGAUCUACGGAUUAAAGUCCCCUUAAGGAACGCUUAGAGAUGGGCCUGUGGCGUAUUAGCUUGUUGGUGGGGUAAUGGCCUACCAAGGCAACGAUGCGUAGCCGAGCUGAGAGGCUAAUCGGCCACACUGGGACUGAGACACGGCCCAGACUCCUACGGGAGACAGCAGUUAGGAAUAUUCGUCAAUGGGGGAAACCCUGAACGAGCAAUGCCGCGUGAGUGAUGACGGCCCUCUGGGUUGUAAAACUCUGUUGUUUGGAAAGAACUGUAAAAAUAGGAAAUGAUUUUUACUUGACGGUACCAUUCAAGAAAGCUCCGGCUAACUACGUGCCAGCCGCGGC
rnacentral:rRNA from 1 species